GGUUUUAUAACUUAAUUGGUAAAGUGUAUUCUUGAUGAGAAUAUUUUUCAAGUUCAAGUCUUGAUUGAACCA
rnacentral:tRNA from 1 species